GAUGAACGCUGGCGGUAUGCCUUACACAUGCAAGUCGUACGAGAGUUUUUAACUCAAGUGGCGGACGGGUGAGUAACACGUAAGAAUUUACCUUUAGGAGGGGGAUAACAACUGGAAACGGUUGCUAAUACCCCAUAUGCUUUCGAGUGAAAUGGGUUUCCGCCUAAAGAAAAGCUUGCGGCUGAUUAGCUUGUUGGUGAGGUAAUGGCUCACCAAGGCGACGAUCAGUAUCUGGUUUGGGAGGAUGAUCAGACACACUGGAACGGAGACACGGUCCAGACUCCUACGGGAGGCAGCAGUGGGGAAUCUUAGACAAUGGGGGAAACCCUGAUCUAGCCAUGCCGCGUGAUCGAUGGAGGCCUUAGGGUUGUAAAGAUCUUUCAGGUGGGAAGAUAAUGACUGUACCACCAGAAGAAGCCCCGGCUAACUCCGUGCCAGCCGCCGCCGUAAUAC
rnacentral:rRNA from 1 species